rnacentral:lncRNA from 1 species
GUGUUUUGUAACGUGAAUUAAUGACAUUUUCUCAUUUUAUGAUGGUUUACGUGACAUUGAAUGCACUUGUGACCCACUGGAUGGACGUGUUGCGAUGUGCUAUGAAGAGAGCGCCAACCACGACGGAACCAUCAACAAAAUGACGAACCGUGACCAAAAAAGCAACAUCAAUGCAAAGAUGUAUAGUAAAUGUAAGUUUUGUUGAUACAAUUUGUGGAAAUAACGUAAUUAUACGUAUUUUACGGCAUGUUGUAAAACACGGGAACACGCGGACUCAACCCGCGAUUUGUAAAACACGGACUCAGUCUGCUUUUUACAAAUCGUGGCAAUGUUUUUGUAAUACACGGACUCAGUCAGUGCUGGCUUUGUACUGACUCAGGCGUGCUGAGAAUUUUGGCAGGAAUUGUGGCAUAAUUCUGUGUAUAUGCAUGUAACCUUUAUAUAAAAUCUGAUCGACGCUAGCUUCAUCAACAUUCAGUUGGUUUCCAUGAGGGGCGUCGAUAUAUACAAAAUAACAUAUUUACAAAAAUGACAAAAAGGAUUUUAAAAAGUACAAAGUUGCAAGCGACAAACACGAACAAUACUUUGUAAAGUGACCCUUCAAAAUAAUAUUCAAUUUAAAAAUAUAUUCUGAUUGGGCUAAUUUUGCUUCCAAAAAAGGCUAUUCCAAAGGCAAAGUUUUGCGCCACUAUAUUUGAAAAUUUUUUUAAGGAAUUCCCUUCUCGGAAUUGGUAAAGCUAAAUCAGUAAAUCUAUUUCUAAGAUUGUAAGAUCCUUGUAAUGCACUAUUCAUAGAGAACAAAUUUUUCAAAUUCUGUGCAGUAUAAUUAUUCAAAAUUCUAUACACAUUAUUAAUAUCGAUUUAUUCCGUUUUCGUCUUUCCUCUAUAAAAGUUUCCCAACCAUGCAAGAGAUUCAAGAACGUCAGCCGAAUUAAAUUCAUAACUUGCGCCAGCAAUUAUGCUUUCCGCGCGGUUUUGAAAUUUUUGAAGUUUAUCUUUUAAAAAAGCACAACAAUUUCCCCAUAAAGGAGAGCAAUAAUCAAAAUAUGGCUGUAUCAAGGCAUUAUAAAUAAUUUGCAAAGUAUUAUUAGGAACAAAGGGCUGUAUUCGUUUCAUAAUCAUAUCCUGGGGCCGAUUGUUCAAAGGUGGGUUAGCGUUAACCCAGGGUUAAAAUUUAACCUGCGUUUUAGUUUGCAUAUACUUCUGCACGUCCAUUUAUUUCAAAAUGCAAAAAAAGAAAACUUCUAUUGAUCCAGACAUGAUUUGUGAAGAAAUAUUUCCAAAUUUAAAAACAUGCUGUUAGGAAGUGUACUUUGAAUUUUAAGUUAACCUAGGGUUAAGAUAACCGGCUUUUGAACAACUCGCCCCUGCUUAAAUUGGUAUAAAUUACUUUUGUUUAUUUAUUUAUUGUUUUGAAUAAACAGAUGAACAGCGUUCAAUCCUAUAGGAACACGCUCAGCCAUGUGGAACUUUGUGCCACUAUUGUCGAGGAAACUCGUGCGUACAUCAAAUGUGGCCGUUUCAAGUAUUAUUUAAAUAGCUGUAGCCUGUAUAGAUAUAGCUCUUAUAGCAGAUACCAUUUAGUGUUAAUCAUAAUUAGACGAAGCCAUUUUCUUGAUUACAUUCAGUUUUACAAUGGUACGGUUGCGGUUUUGAUUAACGAUCCCAAGAAGUUCAGAUAGACUUAAUUUGCAUGUUUAUUUUGCGUUCGUGGAGUAUGAAAAUGGUUAUUAUAAAUUUGCGAGAAAUAUGAAAUUCUAAUCAUUUCCCCAUUAGUCCUUGUUGUGAUUUGUAAAACGCGGACUCAGUCGUUUUCCGUGUUUUACAAAUCGCGGACAAAGUCCGUGUUUUACAAAUCGCGGACUCAGUCGUUUUUCGUGUUUUACAAAUCGCGGACAAAGUCCGUGUUUUACAAAUCGCGGACUCAGUCGUUUUUCGUGUUUUACAAAUCGCGGGCUAAGUCCGUGUUUUACAAAUCGCGGAUUCCGCGCGUUUUCCGGGUCCAGUCCGUGUUUUACAACAUGCCAAUAUUGCGAUUAUACUACAAUGAGAGCAUUACCAGUAUUACUACUUGAAUUUAGUGUAUAACUAAUGUUAAAGUGCCUAUGACACGAAAUUUCACCCCAGAGGUUUAUGGUUGCAUUGUAAAGAUCACUUAAAAUGACUUAAUAAUUUCUUUUAUAGAAUUUUGGUAAUUUGCUUCCUUUGCAAGAUAUUCAACUUUGUUUCAUAUGCAAAUAUCACCGGUGUGACAUCACAUCGCAUAAUGACAUUUUGAAAACGCAAUAUUUUACCUUGAUAAAAUAUUUUUACAAACAAAUACAGAUGGUUAAUUACCAGUUAUGAAAUUAAUACAUAUACAAGGACAAUUUUUAAGUUUUUUAGAUACGUAUUCGUCAAGAAAACUAUACUUUUCUGAAAACUCAUUAUGUGAUGUGAUGUCACACCGGUGAUAUUUGCAUAUGAAACGAAGUUGAAUAUCUUGAAAAGGGAGCAAGUUACCAAAAUUCAAUAAAAGAAAUUAUUAAGUCAUUUUAAGUGAUAUUUACAAUGCAACCAUCAACCUUUGGGGUGAAAUUUCGUGUCAUAGGCACUUUAACACAAUUAUUUAAUAUAAUUUAUUCAAUCAUUAUCAAUUAUCUAAUUGAAAUAAUUAUUUGUUUUAAAAAGGAUGUGAUGCGAUGUUAAAGAGAGUGCAACAAGACAAGAUGAAGACCUACAACCAACAGUUCCUACAACAUUGACAAGGUGAGUUGUUCAUAUUAGGCCCUGGGUUAGACGACUAGAGAGAGAAAUAUGGUUGGCCUCUCAGACAUGGAGGGCAUUAGAGACAAAAAUAUGAUGAUGUCAUUAUAUCAUUCCAUUAUACCGUGAUGCAAUAACAUUAUGUGAUGCUACCAUGUCAUUUUGUCUUGUUGUCGUGUUAUCAUGUUAUUAUGUCGUGUUAACAUGCCAUUAUGCGUGUCUUUUUCACAUUUUAAAAUAUCAUCUCUUAUGCAAUUUAUUAUAUGGCAAGCAUCACUUCCGGUGAAAUGGCGGACUGUGAUUGACUGAGAAGCAUUUUCAGCGGCCCACUUAUUAUUAUUAUUUUCAAUUUCCUUCCUUAUGACUUUAUCUGCGGUUCGCAGCGGAUUUUGCCUCGUGUAGCACGGCCCUUGCUGUUCAUAAAUUUUUAUGUUAUAGUUUGUUAUAUUUGUUAACCAUGCAGGGCCCACAGUAAUUGGUUUAUACUGUUGUGGUGUCCCCGCCAUUUUGUUGUUAGAUUCAGUGACGUACAUGUUUACUGUGUUUAUUGUCAUGUUUGUGCGCACUUUUAUGUUGGCUAAGUUUAAUAAAUAAAUAAAAAUUGAAAAUUCGAAAAUUAUAAUUUAAUUUGUUAUUAAUACGAUAUCUACGAAUGGUUUUAGUGGGAAAAAAGGAAUACAUUAGUAUUUUUUGUUUUCUUCGACCAAAUGUGUACCACGCUAUUAAUAUGAAUUUCAAAUCAUGCAUUUCUUGUUUGUUUCAAGUAUAAAUGCCUAUAAAUGCCAUAUAAUAAAGUUUUUAUUAACCUCGCUUGCUCGGUAUGUACAGAGAAAUAUCGGCCCUCGGUCUUUUUGUACCAAACCUUGCCAUGGACGGAUUUUUAUAUUUUUUACUGGGGUGGUGCCAGAAAUUUUAGGGGGGUGAGCCGUGAGCAGGUGACUGAAGCAACACAAAGUGUCACCAAAUCCCAGUAAGGGCUACAUUCUAGGGGUGGAGCACUAGAGCUGCGAGGGGGAGUCUAGAGAGCAGAAAACAAAGUAUCCCUGAAAAAUGUGAAAAAAAUCAUGAUUUCUAGCUUCGAAAAAACGUUUUUUGAAGUUGUCAUAUCAAUGGAUUUGGCCUGUCCGAUUGUCUCUUGAGACUUGAGAGAGUUAAAGUUAAAUGAACCUGUAAAAGUGUAAACCCAAUAGGCCAAUACGCAAUAUGCUUUUACUUUUAUAAAGUCAUUGACAUUGUGCCGUUUGAAUCAGAGUACAAUUUAUGAUGCAACUCCGAUGUAAAUAAUAUUUGGGGCGUAAAGAUUAAAUCUAGGCAAGACUAUUUCCUAAAAGAAUUAAAAACUAAAAAUAAUGUUCGUAAAAAUUCCAAACGUUCCUUGCAAUCUAUUUGCAUGACAAGGCACUGCAAACUCUAUUCAGGGGAGAUAAUAGAAGAACAAAACAAUAGACACUCCGAAAAUACUUAACAUUUUAUUCAACGUUUCGACUAGGUUUCUGUCAUCAUCAGGAAUGACGCUAUUGAAAAAUACUGAGAAUGAUAUAUAUUUACAAGUUAAGCGGAUCAAAUUACGCGCUAAUUAAAUAUCACAAGUUCCUUAGAGGCUCUAGUUCCGUGAUUAAGUUCCGGUUUUUGGCGAUGUAUAAGUAAGGACUCCUUAUAUAACAAUAAUGACCAAUGUCUAGAUUUAUCUAAACGUUGUCUAUCUAAACUAGAUUUAUCGAAACGUUGAAUAAAAUGUUAACUAUUUUCGGAGUGUCUAUUGGAGAUAAUAGAGUUUCAAAACUUUACAAUUGUUCCAAUAAUAUUGCUUUCUAUUUGAGUGUACUCCUACGUUUAUUUUGUAUCAUCAACACUCUGCACGUUGGAGUGGAUUAUUUAAUUAUUUUUUAUUAUGCCGAAUAUUGGGGGGGGGGGGUGAAAAUUUUUUGAAGGGGUGAGAACACUUUCAGCGGUCCAAACUCAUGCAUUUUAAAACAAAACAGCAAAACUAAUUGAAAAUUAUAAUCCAAUUUGUUAUUAUAAGAUAUCUGCGAAUGGUUUUUAGUGGAAAAGAAGGAAUACAUUGGUAUUUUUUAUUUUCUUCGACCAAAUGUGUACCACGCUACUAAUAUGCAUUUCAAAUCAUGCUUUUCUUGUUUAUAUAUAUAUACGUUUUUUGUUUGUUUGUUUCAAGUAUAAAUGCCAUAUAAUAGUCUUUUUAUUAACCUCGCUUUCUCGGUAUGUACAGUGAAAUAUUGGACCUCGUUCUUUUUGUACAAACCUCGCCCUACGGGCUGGUUUUACAAAAAAGACCUCGGUCCGAUAUUUCUCUGUAGAAUGACACGAUAACACGACAUAGUGACAUGGUAACAAGACAUAAUGACAUGAUGUUAUUGCAUCACGAUAUAAUGGAAUGAUAUAAUGACAUCAUGAUAUUUAAUUUUUGUCUCAGAGAACUGCUAUUCAAAACAUGUCAACACAAGUAGUUCGUUUCUUCGUAAUAUUUCUCUGUGAAAAUUGUUACAGGCGCUAAAGCGUCCCAAUUCAAGAGCAUGUGCUUUAGAAACUACUGCAAGUUUUCUUGCACUUCCGGUUCCGUGUAUCCCAGAACCUUCCUUAUUAUCAUAAUUAAUUUCUAACGAUAGUUUUUUUUUUAAUUCAAAAGAUUGAUGUGAUGUAAAGAAUCGAGAAUGUAACGAUUCAACGAUGCAAGCUGAGAGAAGUCAACAUGAAAAGACCAGAAUGAAUGACACGUGGAUGAUAUGAACCCAAGAACAGAAUGAUAUUUCGUAACAAUCCGAAACCACAAAUUGCUAAUAUGAAAGUAGUGCAAAUUUUACGAAUGUAAGUUAAUUAAAGGCAAGAUACUUAUUCAGAGAUCAAAGGGGAUUCCAGCGAAUACAAUUGUUUCUCGUUGAAAAAAAUAAUAAAAGAAUUACAUGGUAAAAUUAAUAUGAAAUCAACGUGAUUAUUAAGUGUCUUUGGUAAAACUAAAUGAAAUGAAGCAUCCUGUAAGUUUGGCAAUUUUCUGAAAGCUAAAGAAUUAAAUUUUUAUUUAAAAUAAAAUAAAAUAUUCCGAUAAAACUUUCAAAUACGCGAUAACGCAGUGUUUUUCGACAUUAGCAGUAAGAAAUUAAAAUUUAUAUUUAUGAAGUG